rnacentral:rRNA from 1 species
AGGAUGAACGCUGGCGGUCUGCUUAACACAUGCAAGUCGAACGGAGUAGCAAUACUUAGUGGCGGACGGGUGAGUAACGCGUGAGAAUCUACCUUCAGGACGGAGACAACAGUUGGAAACGACUGCUAACCCCCGAUGUACCGCAAGGGCAAAUAUUUAUAGCCUGAAGAAGAGCUCGCGUCCGAUUAGCUAGUUGGAGAGGUAAAAGCUCACCAAGGCGACGAUCGGUAGCUGGUCUGAGAGGACGAUCAGCCACACUGGGACUGAGACACGGCCCAGACUCCUACGGGAGGCAGCAGUGGGAAUUUUCCGCAAUGGGCGAAAGCCUGACGGAGCAAGACCGCGUGGGGGAAGAAGGCUCUUGGGUUGUAAACCCCUUUUCUCUGGGAAGAACACAAUGACGGUACCAGAGGAAUCAGCAUCGGCUAACUCCGUGCCAGCAGCCGC